AGAAGCAGUUUUAUCACCUUAUUGCUUUAUCUUAUUAGAUCUCAGAAGCUAAGCAAAGCCGGGCCUGGUCAGCACUAGGAUGAGAGACCUCAAAGGAAAUCCAGUUUGCUACUUCAA
rnacentral:rRNA from 1 species